rnacentral:rRNA from 1 species
AAACUUCCAACAACGGAUCUCUUGGUUCUGGCAUCGAUGAAGAACGCAGGGAAAAUGUGAAUUGCAGAAUUCAGUGAAUCAUCGAAUCUUUGAACGCACAUUGCGCCCCUUGGUAUUCCGGGGGGCAUGCCUGUUCGAGCGUCAUU